rnacentral:snoRNA from 1 species
UGCCAAUGAUGCAUUAAUUGCACGUAUUAUCGGACUAAGGAUGACGAUUUGUAAGUUAAUUGUCACUACCGCUGAGGCA